GACGAACGCUGGCGGCGUGCUUAACACAUGCAAGUCGAACGGAAAGGCCCUGCUUUUGUGGGGUGCUCGAGUGGCGAACGGGUGAGUAACACGUGAGUAACCUGCCCUUGACUUUGGGAUAACUUCAGGAAACUGGGGCUAAUACCGGAUAGGAGCUCCUGCUGCAUGGUGGGGGUUGGAAAGUUUCGGCGGUUGGGGAUGGACUCGCGGCUUAUCAGCUUGUUGGUGGGGUAGUGGCUUACCAAGGCUUUGACGGGUAGCCGGCCUGAGAGGGUGACCGGCCACAUGGGGACUGAGAGACGGCCCAGACUCCUACGGGAGGCAGCAGUGGGGAAUAUUGCACAAUGGGCGGAAGCCUGAUGCAGCAACGCCGCGUGCGGGAUGACGGCCUUCGGGUUGUAAACCGCUUUCGCCUGUGACGAAGCGUGAGUGACGGUAAUGGGUAAAGAAGCACCGGCUAAGUACGUG
rnacentral:rRNA from 1 species